AAGCCAGGAGAGGGCUUCCGUUUCCGGGCCCCGCCAGAACACCCCAGCAGGUGUCAGGGACAGGGCAGUAUUCCAGCUUCAGCCUGUCUACCUCUGGAGCUCUCCUGAUCAAUACAUCAGAGAAGAUGAUGGAGCCCUCCUGCCGCUCUUGGGGAGAGUUGCGUCGCUGCUGUCAUCGAUGCCGUGCUGGACCUCACAGCGAUAGAUACCUGAGUCGUUGGGGCGCAGCUCGCUCAGCGCCAGGGAGACGUCGGUGAGCGACGCUGGGUACGCAGGCAGUGCCACGCGGAACCGGUAGGCCUCGUUCACCUUGACGCGCACUCCCCGCGCCACCAGCACCUCUGCCUCCCGGCCCCGGGACAGGAAAGUCCACUUGACCCGCGGAGAGCCCAGCACAGCCCGGCGGCUCGGCGGUGGCCGCAGGUAGUGGACGUGGCAAGGGAUGGUGAGGGCGCCGCCGAGCACGCCCUGCAGUGGCGCGUCGCCCGCGAUGCGCACGCGAAAAGCGCGGUCCUCUGUGAACGGGUGGAGCCGGCUGGAACUUAACGCUGUCGACCCUCAGAGUCCCACCCGGUGGCCUCCAAGCCCCGCUCCAGGAUCCCUCCUUCCGGCCCCAGGAUUCCCCGGCCCCCCUAGGACCAGGGGCCAGGGGCCAGGGGCCAGGGUCCUGCAGCCCUACCUCUAGGUCCUCCAGGACCACCCCGACGGUCUCCAGACCCAUCCCCCAAAGUCUCCCAGUCAAUUCAGCCCCCAGGAUUCCUUGCCCUGCUCUCAGAGUCUUCCACUUCCUCUCCAAAAUUCCUAGACCACACCCCAGGGUCCUCCAACCUCGCCCCCUGAGUCCUCCAGCCCAGUUUCCCAGUCUGCUCCCUUUAGGGCCUCCUUCAGGGUUUCUCCCAGUUCCACCCCUUUCCCACCUCCUAGCUUCAGGAUCCCCUAUCCUCCACCUUAGGGGCCCAAAGCCUUGCACCCAGUGCCCUUCCCUAGUCCUGCCCCAUGAUUUCUCCAACCCACCAGAUGCUCACAGCUCAGCCCUUAUUUCCAAGUGUUCCAGCCUGGACGCUUCCCCACAGCCCUCCAAUUCUCUCUCUUCCUGGGGCCCCUAAGCCUGGAAGCAGUUGGUUAGGGCUGAACAAGACAGAGACGGUGACCCCAAGUGGGGUUGCUUACCUGAGCUGUCUCCUUCCAGAACAUCUGCUAAAGCUGCAGGAGCCUGGGCCAGGACCAGGGCUGCCAGCAGGGGCAGGAACAGCUGGGCCAUGCUGCAGGCUGACAGAGGGACAUGAGAAGGAAAGAUGGGGUUAGACUUCAGGAUGGACUUCCCCCCUGCUCCCUACCACACCCAUGUGGGUUCACACAUAUCCUGGCUCCAGAAGUCCCCUACCUUCACAUCACCAUGGACUCUCUGUUUCUGAUCCCCAUCUUCCCAGCAAGUGAUUUCUUCUCAGAACCAAAACCCGAGUCCUAGUCAACUCACUGUGUGACCUAAGCCAAGCUCCUUACCUUCUCUGAGCCUUUAUUUUCUUACUUAUAAAAAAGCAUCAUCAUUACUAUCUCAUGAGUUGAGAUAGGACCAUGUGCUUUGAGAGUGUUUAGUAUCUUAAAACUCCUGUACAAAUGCAUAGCACCAGGCAGACAGUAGGAGCUCAGUUUACAGCAUGAAUGGUGGGUGCUCUUAUACUCAGAAUUCCAUCUGCUCCUCCCAGUGCCAGACUCCUUCCUCGAACCCAGAGCCUUCUCCCAUAGUAUCUCUUUAGCCUCUUCUGCCUUCUAGACUGUCCCUGCCUCCAGGGACACCAUACUCACCUGGCCUUUUCCAGGAGGGCCUCCUAGACCGAACGCAAGUAAGCACAGCUUCUCCUGAGCCCACCCUCUCCUCUACUUCCUCCCCACCAUUAUUUGUAAGGAAACUCCUCUCUUUACUCCCCAACAUUCUCCAUCCCCCUUCCUUGGCUGCCUCCUCCCUUCUUCUUCCCAGCCUCUCCUUUCUGCCUGGCACGGGCUUUCCCACCGGAACUCUUGGCUCAGAAAUCAGUUGGGACAAAGCCCCUGUCUCUGCCAGUCUGGCCUCUAUCCAGCCCCUCCCUUCCCCCACCCUACCUUUUGUGAAAGCCUUGGGCUGGAGGGUGGACUAAGGGGGGGGAGAAUAAAUGGGAGGGGCUACCCCUUCCUACCCCUGGCUAUCAGAAGCUCUAGAACCCAGAAUAUUCCUCCAAAGAUCUCGAAGCACUUACACUCUCAUAAAAAGGAUGUGUUGUGACAUUGAGAAAUGGAGACUGAGGCUCAGAGAAGGAUAGGGCUGACCCUGGAUCCCUAGUAAAGCCAAGUCAGGCACGAGGGCAAUGUGCUCCCAGGAGAGAAGACUCAGAGCUACAUCAUCUUUAAGGGUUGGGCUAAACUUAGAAGAGCAUGGAGAUCCAGGUAUGCCAUGGAAUAGGCCAAUGAUGCAGCAAGAGAAUUGAAGGUUAGACUACAGGCAGGACUUCCUAGAGAUCAGGUUUAUUCCACUGGCUGUGCACUCCCAUUCCAGGCCCACUGUUUAUCCCCCAUCUUCCCUGCCCUCUCAGCAUCUGCCUUCAUACCUGUCCCUGCACUUUCCUAAGCCUGAGAUGAUGGGAAAUUUCCUACUUUUCCCAGAUCCUCCCACCUCCCUGCCAUCAUAACCCCCAUCUCCCCCACUGUGUCUGGAUAUCAUUCCCUAGGGUCAGAGUUGGGAGAGGAGUGGCACAACCAGAUGCUUAGGGCCUCUCUCUGACCUUUCAGAGGGAGGAGGUUCUUGAUGGGGCCAGAUUAGAGGUGCGGAGACCAGCUCCAGGCAUUGGGGUGCUUGGGAGGACUGUUCUGGGGCUGGAGUGGGGACCAUUGGGCAGGAGCAGCCAGUGCCCACCGGGUGCUGGGAAGACUGUUUGCCAUGCAUCUGAGCUGUGCCAGGGCCUGGGCCUGGCCCCCUUCUGGUGCCCUCCCUCCCUUCUCUCUGGGCUGGAGCUGGAGCUGCUCACAGACCUGGCUCCCAUCUCUCUGACGGGCAGCCCAGAGACCCAUAUAGUUGGAGUCAUUUUGGGGCCAACACCCUGGACCACCCUUUCACCUCUGUCUGACAGUGGGAGAGUGAGGGAAGAGGGCCUAAGGCCAAUGAGGACCUAACUGCUCUGGAACAUGGAGGGCAACCUACCCUUGACCCCAAAAAUGGGAGUCACUGACCAGUGAGGCCAAGAGGGUAGCCCCGUGCAGUUCUGAGAGAGCUCUGUCUCUCCAGUCUCGGGCCUCAGCCUCCCAAUUGCAGCUAGGAGCCCUGAGGAAACUCAGACUUCCCCACAUCCGGUACCAGCCUCAGAACCCAGGGGUCCAGGGUUCUGUGGCCUUCUCUAUCCCACACACCACUCAUCUCCACUUCCUCUUCUCUUCCUCCAGAGCAGGCCACACCUCUCCAACUCUAACCCUGAGAGCUCAGCAGUCAUGCGGUCCGUUCCCUUGACGCCACAACAUCCCCCUCUCUGUUUCAGCUCCAGCGUCUGUAUCUCUGCCCUUGUUUUGAAUUUCUUGAGCUGUUCAGGAAACUUUCCUCUUGUCACAUCAUUUCUGUCUGACCCGGGAUGUCCAUCUCCCUCACAGUCUUCAUAGACCCAACCCAGAGAGUUAAGACCAGGUCUCUCUCUCUCUCUCUCUCUCUCUCUCUCUCUGUGUGUGUGUGUGUGUGUGUGUGUGUAGGCAUGCACGUGUGUACACACAUCUAACAACACCCACCACCUCCAUGCUGAAUGCCCAUCAGCCGGCAGCCAAGGUCUGUCCCAUAGGAACUGAGCUCCAGCACUCAGCAGGGUCAGCAGGGAGGCACAAGAAGCCAGAGCUUUGGCUAUAGCAGGAGGGAAGCUCUCUGCUACCCCCUUAACGGCUUCAUGAGGAGCAACAUGAGCCUACACAAUAUAAGCAGGGCCUUAGGGCCUGUAGAAGUAAUUGCAAUCAUCAUAUAAAUAGUCCUUUUUAUUGGAAGCAAAACUAAUAAUACUAUUAGCAAUGACACCAGCCGAGCAGUUGCAGAUCCCUCUCGUAUAGAAUCUGAAAUGUGGAUGAUGCUGUUAUAAAUAGCAAAGUUAGCCAUAGCAACAUAGGCACUGGUAAUACUGUGGGUGGGUCUAAGGGUAACACUGUUCCCUGAUCUUACUGUCAUCAUCUGCAAUCUAAGUAAUGCAGAUAAUAAUGGUGCCCCUUGGACUUGACGCCAAUCUCUUGGUCCUAUUAGAACCAUGUAGGCAGAGCUAUUCCAAUAGGUGGGGGAAUACCUGACAGGAUAUGGAAAUACCUGGGAGAGGGAAUUCCCAGGCCCCUGGCAGUGCUAGGAAGGAAUGCAAUAGUGGUAACCGAAUUCCAGCUAAUAGUUACUGAUGUCUACCUGAGCCAGUUCUCCUAAAUGCUUCCUGUGGAUAACCUCAACUGUGAGAAAAAGAUUGUUUAUGUUUUGCUCAUUACACCGAUGAGGAACCCGAGGUUCAGAGAAGUCAACUAACUACCCCAAGGUCACAGAGCAAGGAGCCGAGUUGGGAUUCCAGCCGAAAUGGGCACUCCGACCACCCCCUAGAGCGGCUCUGAUCGGCUGUCCUGCCGGACUACAGUAAGGUGUCCCCAGAAGGGUUGCUGGCCGCUGCUCCUGGAGCUGCCUGUGCGUGGGGGCACGGAGGCAAGGACUGAUCCGGAACGCUACCGCCCUGCCUGGGACAAGGUCGGAAAUCUCGGCGGCCGCGCUGGGACAGGAGCGCGCAGCAGGGAAGAUGCGAGGACCCGAGGGGUUGCUGAUCAGACUGCGAGCAGCAGGGGGGCUGCCACUGGCAGAGCUGGAAGCAUGUAGAUCAGAGAUGGCAGCAGCAGCUGCAGGCGCUCGGGGCUGUCCAGCAGCCUACCCCGCUGCGGUGUCAGGAGUCGACGAGUUGGGUGCCCCAGAGCCUCGAGGCAAGGGCUGACAGGCGGGGGGCGCAGACCAGGCAGGCACUCCCUUCUCCCUGUCCCCGACCCCACGGCGGGCGGCGGGGCUGCGGAGGCACUCACCUACCCAGGGCUGGGGUUGGGUCGCGGCACUGCGAAGUUUGUCGCCUCCUCCGGGGGUCUCCUCCGGGUGCACGGCUCAGUCCUGCAGCUGCAGCUGAGACUGCGGCGGAGACUGCGCGAGCGUGAGGAGAGGCUGGGGCCGCAGGACAUUCGGAAGAGGGCGCCGGCCCUCCCGGCGCAGCACAAAACCCCCUUUCUUCCCCCCGCCCCUGCCCCGCCCUCCCCGGGGCCGCCCCCGCCCCCUGGUCGGGAGCGCGGGGCUCUCGGGACGGUCACGGGACCCGCUGCCUUCUCUGCUUCGGCUCCGGCAGCAGCGGCGAGAGCAAGGACGAGCGAAGUAGGACAUCGUUCAGCGGAUGAGAAGCCGAGGGCUUGGAGUAGGGAGGAGGGGCAGGAGGGGCGGGGAGGGAGCGUUCGCCCAGCGUUCGCUGAGCUAAAGGAUGACGAUGUUGCAGCUGGAGGGGUGGAAGUUGGACAACUGGAGAGUCUUCUCGUUGUUCAAAGAAGAAGGAGGAGGGAGUCAAUUAGACUGUAAGAAGUGGAUGAAGGGAGAAUGGGGGCUUUGCUCCUGAAAAGAGACACCCUUUCUAAUAAAAAAAAUGGAAAACUCUUUUCUGGAGGCAGAAUGGGGUGCAAAGGACCGUAGCUACCUCCCUGGAGGCAGCUAUGAUUGGGCAUUGGCUCCUGUGGUGCUCCCACUCCCUGCACAGAGGAGGAGCUGACUUUGCAGCUGGAAGGAUGGAGGUUAGACAGCAGAAUCAUGGGUUAAGCAAAGCAAUUCAGGAAAUCUCUAGACCUGGGGUGGGGGUGGGGUGAGGGUGGCCCUGUGAAGGGACAUUACCAGUCAUGCAAACCAAUGUGCAAAAUGCAGGCGUUGCUGGGAGCCCAGAAGGCCUACUGGCCAGGGCUGUCGAUGCUGAAUGUGCAGCCUGAUGCCAGGGGGUGGGCCUUGAGUGCUGCCCAGCCAGGAACUCCUCAGCGCCCAGAAUACCAAUGACCCUCCUUUCCCCCAGCUCCAGGGCCUCUGCUUCCCUCUCCUUUCCCAGGCUCUCUUUGCUUUUCCCUCCUCCCUCCUGGGACUGUAGGCAAAGCCCCUGGCACGGACAGUGGGCAGGACAGCCAGAUGCCUAGAUUCCCUCCCCUGGAUACCAAUAUUGGCACCAAGGAUAGCUUUGGAGGGCUUUGAUCCUCAUAAUCUCCACAGCAUCUUCAAAAUACCCCAAGUAAAGUAAGGUGCAUUCAAUGCAAAUGCAACCUCAAGGCAGAUCCCCAGCCUUCCAUCUAGACUGCACCCUAGGUCCCUCUUGGGAACUCUGGACUGCUCCCCACUGAAUGUGCCAACGCCCCCACUCACCACUGCCUGGCUUUCACUCCCAGUGCCAUGGACUUGGUUCCAAAGGGCUUUGAGAACCUCACAUAAAAACCCACUCCAAAUCUUUGAGGGUCUAAAGGGAAGAUUCUGGCCCCUUCCCAGAGACCCAUCUACUGUAGGGACAGGAAAAGAAGACCUGGGGGGUAGGGAGGGGUAGAUGGUAAAUUUCCUUACCAAGAAAAAUGCCAGCCAGGUGCGGUGUCUCAUGCCUAUAAUCCCAGCAUUGGAAGGCCAAGGUGGGCGGAUCACCUGAAGUCGGGAGUUCAAGACCAGCCUAGUGAACAUAGCGAAACCCCAUCUCUACUAAAAAAAUACAAAAAUUAGCCGGUGUGGUGGUGGACACCUGUAAUCCCAGCUACUUGGGAGGCUGAGGCAGGGAGGAUUGCUUGAACCUGGGAAGUGGAGGUUGCAGUGAGCUGAGAUCGUGCCACUGCAUUAUAUCCUGGGUGAUAGAGUGAGGCUCCCUCUCAAAAAAAAAAAAAAAAAAAAGAAAAGAAAAGAAAAGAAAAGAAAAAUGCCCCAGAAAGGAUGCAAGACUGAAGGGGACAGAGGAAGGUGCCUGGGACAGUCUGGGGAGGAAGGGACCUCGAUCUAUUUACUUCGUUAGACCAAUAUGAGUUGAAUUGAAUUCCAGCUGUGGACCAGGAACUGCUCGAGGCCUGGAAAUGCAGUUCCAAUUCUUCUAGUAGAAAGAGCGGAUCUGAGAAGGCCUUCGGGGACAGAUCUGGGCAGCCUUAGGAUGUCUUUUUGCUCCCCUUAGAAGUUGCAUUUCAGAGCUGCAAGAAAACCCCCCUUCCUCAGGACAGUCUCAGCAUGGAUGCAUGUGUCCAGCCUACCUCCACACUGGCUCUACAGGGCUUGAGGCCAGCCAGGCUGAGCCAGGCAACCAAGCGGCUGAAAUUUAAUCCCAGUGGUGGCUCAGAUGUAACCACAGUUCUUGCCUCAGGGAAACCUGGCUGUGACCAGAGAAGGCAGAGAAAGUGACCUUCCUUACCACCUCUCCUCAUGACCAGAAGGAUUGGCACUCACUUCGGUGCCCUGGGGGAAUCCACCCUUGACUGAGGCCAGCAGCACCUGGGUCUGGACAAGGGCUGGUACCAGACAGUCUGUUCCAAAAAGCAGAUCCCUGGUGGGAGACCAGACGUGGUGAGAGAACAGACAGCUGCUGUUGCGCAGACGAGGACUCUGGCAUCACAGGCACUGAGGUCAAAUUCCUGUUUUGUCAUUUGCAGUGGCAAACCUCAGAAAGGGCCCCGUUCCUCCUCUGAAACUCUCUCUUCUGAACAGUGGGCUGAAUAAUAUCUACUGCACUGGGCAAUAUCUACUGUACCUGUUCUAGGCAAGGGAAACCCCUGGCCCAUGACUCGGGCUUAGCAAAAUCUAGUUCUUUUCCUUUCCCAGUCACACACACUUGCGCACACACACAGCAACCUAAUCUGCCCAGAUCUCCUGGCCAGGAGGUCAGAGGACCACUGCCCUGGAGAGCUCAUUAUUUGGGAGUAGAGACCUUUCCAGAGGAUUUCUCAGGGGAGGAAAUGGGCACUCUGAGGCUUUUCCAACAUUUCCAGCUGAGAAAAUUUAUACUGAAGGCUAACCUGCAGUUUGAACCAGCAAUUGCUGAUCAGAGACUCUCUUUACAAUUACGGACACUUGGCCAUAUGUGUCUUCCCCCGUUUCUAUUUACUUUCUGAGAGGAGGCAAGAAUCAGCCUCCUCCAGAGGCAAGAACCCCCUCCAGAGGAGGGGCUCUGCCUAGCCCCUCCAGAUCUCAGAAAGAGAUCCCUGGGGAUUGGCUGAAAGCAAACAGAAUCAAUGGCAGCGGGAAGAAUGAAAGUCAGAUUUCAGGUAGAACCUCCUGUCUCAGUAACAGGAGAAAAAUUCCUCCAGUAACCUUGAAUAUCUUCUGAACACGGAAACUGAGACCCAAAGAGGUCAAGCAACUGUCCAGAGUCACACAGCAUGGAACUGGCUGAACCAUGACCAAAAAUCAAGUCUCCUGACUCCCAGGCCAAGGUUCUUGCCAGGGCUCCCCAGAUGUCUAUCAGGGGAGGGAGAAAGAGGGAGGUGGAGAGAAGAAAGAGAGAGAGGGAGAGCGUGGGCAGCUCUCCUCCCUCUCCCACGUGCAGCCCAGCUGGCUGCCUCCCAGUCUCCUGGGCCCUGGGGAAUUUUCCAGCCUCUCUGGAUGAGAACAAUCAAUCUCCUGCCUCCACCGGACCCCCAACAUCCCCCAUCCAUGCCAAAGCUGAGGCCAUGACCCAAGUUGAGAAAAGAGAAUCUGCCCUCCACGCUCCUGCAUCCUGAGUUCCCCCCAUCUCCAGUGUUAGCCUUGGGCCUUCCUCACUGGAUUCUAUUCCACAGUGGCCACUGGGAGAGCCUGUCCUGCCAACCUCCUUGAACACCUGCCCCCUUUCUCCCAGACUUGGAGUGGGGGCCUAGGCAGCUGAGUUCCUCUCCGAGGCCCUGCACGGGCAUCUGGGUCUUGUGCCAUAGGCAUGUGGGAGUAGGGCUGAAGAGGGGGAUGUGGCUCUGAAUGCUGGCACAGCUGUGUUCAGAGAAUGGGGGCUUUGAUAGCUUCUGAAAGAGGCCAGGAAGCACGGGACCCCAGCCCAGGCAGGAGGGGGUGGGGGGCAGAAAUGGCUGAGUGUGGCUCUGAGGGCUCUUGCUGCCGCAGACAGGGAGUGUGGAGUGGGAGGGGAUGUGGAGCAGUAGGGAGACAGCAAUGGGGACUACAGGCUGAACAGCAUCAUCAGAGAGCCCCCCUGCUGCACCAGCAGGAGCCAGCGUCCCCAUGAGCUGGUCAGACCGCGCUUUGAGGGUUGCAAACCCAUGUGUUCAGAGGAGACCAUCAGCUUGUUGCACAAAGAACAGCGGGAGGAACUGGAGGGCUGGAGCCCGAGUACAUCUGAAUUUACCUCUUGAGGUCCCACCAGAAGGCUGCCUGUAGUGCCUCUCCCAGCCUCCUAUGGGGAAGGACCACUCAUUUGUCUGUGAUGUUGGGGCAGGUACUAAUCUCCCUGUGCUUCAGUUUCUUCACCUGUAAAAUGGUAAUAACCCCUUGUUGUAUGGUUUUGAUGUUGGAGCCAUGUAAAUAUUUUAUAUAAUUAAAAUACGAAAUUAAUUAGA
rnacentral:lncRNA from 1 species